GUGGGGAAUAUUGGACAAUGGGCGAAAGCCUGAUCCAGCCAUGCCGCGUGUGUGAAGAAGGUCUUCGGAUUGUAAAGCACUUUAAGUUGGGAGGAAGGGCAGUAAGUUAAUACCUUGCUGUUUUGACGUUACCGACAGAAUAAGCACCGGCUAACUUCGUGCCAGCAGCCGCGGUAAUACGAAGGGUGCAAGCGUUAAUCGGAAUUACUGGGCGUAAAGCGCGCGUAGGUGGUUCGUUAAGUUGGAUGUGAAAGCCCCGGGCUCAACCUGGGAACUGCAUCCAAAACUGGCGAGCUAGAGUACGGUAGAGGGUGGUGGAAUUUCCUGUGUAGCGGUGAAAUGCGUAGAUAUAGGAAGGAACACCAGUGGCGAAGGCGACCACCUGGACUGAUACUGACACUGAGGUGCGAAAGCGUGGGGAGCAAACAGGAUUAGAAACCCUAGUAGUCC
rnacentral:rRNA from 1 species